UCUGCCGACGAUCCGAAGUCGAUCUGCGGAUCGAUCCGACAGCCCUCGGCGGGAACGCAAAGCGAAUGUCAAUGGAGAGAGAAGUUGACAGCCCCCGACUCGGCGUGGAGUCGCCGCCUCGCCCACCUCCUCCUGCACCUCCUACUCUACCUCCUCCUGCACCUCCUCAGUGCCCUGGCGACGACAACAACCCCACAGCGGCAGCAGCGACUACGACAACGCCCGCCGUUGAGGCCUACACCGCCUCGGAGCCUGCGGCCUCUGCCCACGCCGCGUCGCAUUCGGCGGGGGAGAUUCAGGCGAGGGGCGGCGAGGAGGAGGAGGAGGAGGGGGGGGCGGUUGGGGGAAAGGAAUGUGAUGAUGAUGAAGAUGAUGAGGAGGAUGAUGAUGAGGAGGAGGAGGAAGAUGAGGAGCAAGCUGAAGAGGACUAUGAGGAGGAGAUCCUGCAGCUGCUGAUGGCCGUGACCGCUGCACGUGCAGCAGCUCCACAAGGUUCAGCGGCAGCAGCAGCAGGAGGAGGAGCUCCGGCUUCAGCCGGCGGCGCCGGAGAUCCUGCACGGCGGGUCGUGGGCUGGGGCCGCCCGCCCACGCCCCAACCCGGCGGUGGUGGUGGUGAAGAUGGUGGUGGUGGUGAAGAUGGUGGUGGUGGCGCAGGCGGCCCGGCUGGUGAGCAUGUGCGGGACCUCCAUCUUGGAGCUGCUGGGGCGCGCAGGCUGGGAGGGCUUCCUGCAGGCUUUGGGGCCGGAGAGAGAGACAGAGACACAGAGAGAGAGAGAGACACAGUGAGAGACAAACAGAGACACAGUGAGAGAGACACAGAGACACAGUGAGAAACACAGAGACACAGUGAGAGACAAACAGAGACACAGUGAGAGAGACACAGAGACACAUUGAGAGACACAGAGAGAGAGACAGAGACACAGAGAGAGAGACAGAGACACAGUGAGAGACAAACAGAGACACAGAGAGAGAGAGACACAGUGAGAGAGACAGAGAGAGACAGACAGAGAGAGACACAGUGACAGACACAGUGAGAGACACAGAGACACAGUGACAGAGACACAGAGACACAGUGAGAGAGACACAGAGACACAGUGAGAGAGACACAGAGACACAGAGACAGAGAGAGAGACAGAGACACAGUGAGAGAGAGGCACAGUGAGAGACACAGAGACAAACAGAGACACAGAGAGAGACAGAGACACAGUGAGAGAGACACAGAGACACAGUGAGAAACAGAGAGAGACACACAGACAGAGACAUACAGUGAGAGAGAGACAGAGAGACACAUUGAGAGACACAGAGAGAGACACACAGACAGAGACAUAAAGUGAGAGAGACACAUUGAGAGACACAGUGAGAGAGAGACACAUUUAAAGACACAGAGAGAGAGACAGAGAGAGAGAACGUCAGAGUUAGAAAAGGAAGAAAAAACCCGUACGGACAAGACGGUGCGGCCUCACCAUCACCCCCACCGAGACGCCCACGGAAGCUGUAGCACAGGUUUUGUUUGUAUUAGAUCGCGUAUCAACGUUGUGUUGUUAAACCCGCCACCACCCUACACGACCAUCUCACCACACAGAGGCCCACGCAGACACCCACAGACUCACCACACAGAGACCACACAGACACCCACAGACUCACCACACAGAUACCACACAGACACGCACAGACUCACCACACAGAGACCACACAGACACCCACAGACUCACCACACAGAGACCACACAGCCACCCACAGACUCACCACACAGAGACCACACAGACACCCACAGACUCACCACACAGAGACCACACAGACACCCACAGACUCACCACACAGAGACCACACAGACACCCACAGACUCACCACACAGAGACCCACAGACGCACCAUACAGAGACCCACAGACUCACCACACAGACACCCACACAGACACCCACAGACUCACCACACAGAGACCCACAGACUCACCACACAGAGACCCACAGACUCACCACAUAGAGACCCACAGACUCACCACACAGAGACCCACAGACUCACCACACAGACACCCACAGACUCACCACAUAGAGACCCACAGACUCACCACACAGAGACCCACAGACUCACCACACAGACACCCACAGACUCACCACACAGACACCCACAAACU